rnacentral:tRNA from 1 species
GCACGGAUGGCCGAGUGGUCUAAGGCGCCAGACUCAAGUGUGCUUUGUGCGAGUAUGCACAGUUGGGGUGUUCUGGUAUCGUUAUCGAUGCGUGAGUUCGAAUCUCACUCCGUGCA